rnacentral:rRNA from 1 species
CGCGUAGGCGGCGAGAUAAGUCAGACGUGAAAUUCCUGGGCUCAACCUGGGGGCUGCGUUUGAGACUGUUUGGCUAGAGGAUGGAAGAGGCUCGUGGAAUUCCCAGUGUAGAGGUGAAAUUCGUAGAUAUUGGGAAGAACACCGGUGGCGAAGGCGGCGAGCUGGUCCAUUACUGACGCUGAGGCGCGAUAGCGUGGGGAGCAAAACAG